CCGUACGAUGUCGACUUGGAGGUUGUGCCCUUGAGGCGUGGCUUCCGGAGCUAACGCGUUAAGUCGACCGCCUGGGGAGUACGGCCGCAAGGUUAAAACCCAAAUGAAUUGACGGGGGCCCGCACAAGCGGUGGAGCAUGUGGUUUAAUUCGAUGCAACGCGAAGAACCUUACCUGGUCUUGACAUCCACAGAACUUUCCAGAGAUGGAUUGGUGCCUUCGGGAACUGUGAGACAGGUGCUGCAUGGCUGUCGUCAGCUCGUGUUGUGAAAUGUUGGGUUAAGUCCCGCAACGAGCGCAACCCUUAUCCUUUGUUGCCAGCGGUCCGGCCGGGAACUCAAAGGAGACUGCCAGUGAUAAACUGGAGGAAGGUGGGGAUGACGUCAAGUCAUCAUGGCCCUUACGACCAGGGCUACACACGUGCUACAAUGGCGCAUACAAAGAGAAGCGACCUCGCGAGAGCAAGCGGACCUCAUAAAGUGCGUCGUAGUCCGGAUUGGAGUCUGCAACUCGACUCCAUGAAGUCGGAAUCGCUAGUAAUCGUGGAUCAGAAUGCCACGGUGAAUACGUUCCCGGGCCUUGUACACACCGCCCGUCACACCAUGGGAGUGGGUUGCAAAAGAAGUAGGUAGCUUAACCUUCGGGAGGGCGCUUACCACUUUGUGAUUCAUGACUGGGGUGAAGUCUAAAAGG
rnacentral:rRNA from 1 species